AAGGAAAACAAGCUGCCGUUCUCCAUUUUGAAUUUCACUUCUCUCAUCAUAAUGGGGAGGCUGCAUGUAGUGCGUACUCCCGGGGAGCAGUGCGCCUAUGAAUAGCAACGAUGCCUCAUACUACCUAUCAUGUCUGCUGGUGCUACCUGGAUGAUGGGACUUCAUCAUUAUGAUCAGUCGCGUGUGCAUUGCUGCUACGAGUGAUAAAACAUGGGCCAGAGCUUUCAUACAAGAAUGAGCUUUGAUUUGGCCUUACCCCAAUCACCACUCAGUUGGCGCCUGCCGAAUAAGUAC